rnacentral:rRNA from 1 species
UGCAGUCGACGAACUUCCGUUAAUUGAUUAUGACGUACUUGUACUGAUUGAGAUUUUAACACGAAGUGAGUGGCGAACGGGUGAGUAACACGUGGGUAACCUGCCCAGAAGUAGGGGAUAACACCUGGAAACAGAUGCUAAUACCGUAUAACAGAGAAAACCGCAUGGUUUUCUUUUAAAAGAUGGCUCUGCUAUCACUUCUGGAUGGACCCGCGGCGUAUUAGCUAGUUGGUGAGGUAAAGGCUCACCAAGGCAGUGAUACGUAGCCGACCUGAGAGGGUAAUCGGCCACAUUGGGACUGAGACACGGCCCAGACUCCUACGGGAGGCAGCAGUAGGGAAUCUUCCACAAUGGACGCAAGUCUGAUGGAGCAACGCCGCGUGAGUGAAGAAGGGUUUCGGCUCGUAAAGCUCUGUUGUUAAAGAAGAACGUGGGUAAGAGUAACUGUUUACCCAGUGACGGUAUUUAACCAGAAAGCCACGGCUAACUACGUGCCAG